rnacentral:rRNA from 1 species
UACGUAGGUGGCGAGCGUUGUCCGGAUUUACUGGGCGUAAAGAGCGCGCAGGCGGUCGUUCAAGUCGCGUGUGAAAGCCCCCGGCUCAACUGGGGAGGGUCACGCGAUACUGAUCGACUCGAAGGCAGGAGAGGGAAGUGGAAUUCCCGGUGUAGUGGUGAAAUGCGUAGAUAUCGGGAGGAACACCAGUGGCGAAGGCGACUUCCUGGCCUGUUCUUGACGCUGAGACGCGAAAGCUAGGGGAGCAAACAGG